rnacentral:rRNA from 1 species
CUAGAGUGCAGAGAGNAAGAGGUAGAUUCCCGGUGUAGCGGUGAAANUGCGUAGAGAUCGGGAGGNAAUACCAGUGGCGAAGGCGGCCUUCUGGCCUGACACUGACACUGAGGUGCGAAAGCGUGGGUAGCAAACAGGAUUAGAUACCCUGGUAGUCCACGCCGUAAACGAUGUCGACUAGCCGUUGGGACCUUUAAGGACUUAGUGGCGCAGUUAACGCGAUAAGUCGACCGCCUGGGGAGUACGGCCGCAAGGUUAAAACUCAAAUGAAUUGACGGGGGCCCGCACAAGCGGUGGAGCAUGUGGUUUAAUUCGAUGCAACGCGAAGAACCUUACCUACCCUUGACAUCCAGAGAAGUUGGCAGAGAUGCCUUCGUGCCUUCGGGAGCUCUGAGACAGGUGCUGCAUGGCUGUCGUCAGCUCGUGUUGUGAAAUGUUGGGUUAAGUCCCGUAACGAGCGCAACCCUUGUCCUUAUUUGCCAGCGAGUCAUGUCGGGAACUCUAAGGAGACUGCCGGUGACAAACCGGAGGAAGGUGGGGACGACGUCAAGUCAUCAUGGCCCUUACGGGUAGGGCUACACACGUGCUACAAUGGCCGGUACAAAGGGUUGCGAGACCGCGAGGUGGAGCGAAUCCCAGAAAGCCGGCCUCAGUCCGGAUCGGAGUCUGCAACUCGACUCCGUGAAGUCGGAAUCGCGUAGU